GCGGCGGUAGCUCAGUCGGCAGAGCGCCGGUUUUCCAGUCCGUAGGUCGCCGGUUCGAGUCCGGUCCGCCGCU
rnacentral:tRNA from 1 species